AUGGCACCUCAGAAGUGUCGCUCUGAAAAUUAAUUUUGCCCAGCCACAGAGGUCUGAUGACACAAGCGAAGUAAAAGAGAUUUCAGCAAUUCUUGUAUCUGAUGAAGAGUAAAUUUAAAGGCAGUGCAUAAGAGAUGCUUACCUUUUAACUCUUCCAGUAAAAGCUUGUUUUCAUGGUGAUAACAAGAAAGAGGUACCAGGACUCCCUCAGCAGAAUCUUUCAGAGGAAUGAAGGUUAUAAAAUAUGCUUAUCCAGCCUGUGUAAGCAAGUGUGUAAAUCUGAGUGUUGCAGUUCAAGAAAUCCACUCUGUAAUGCCAAUUAAAGGACUAACCAAACCUCUCUCGCAUUUAAGUACCUGAACCCUUCCAAACAUACUUAGGGGUGCAGGAUUGCACAUCCUAUUAGGAACCUGCUAAGCUAGCCUGACAUCCUAGCUGGAUUUUUAAGGUACUCUAUGAAGAUUAUAAUCCUCUUCUUUCUGGGAGCAACUUUAUUACCCCAGGGAAGCAGCUGAGUUAAGAUUGUGCCAAUAUUUCCAUCACAGUGUUAGCUCUCUUUUUUUUUAAGUCUUCAUGAAAAAGAAGUCAUUUUGUCCCAUAAUUAAGAGCCAAAUAACUUCUCAUGGCAGCAGAUUUUGUUUAUGAUUUUCACACAAAUAUUUUUGACAGCG
rnacentral:lncRNA from 1 species